rnacentral:lncRNA from 1 species
AUAAUUACACAGAAUUGUACAGUCACACAAUAUAAUAGUUCAGAUGGUGAUGUAUUAGUAAUUACAUAUUUAAAAGCUUAUCUGAACAUAUUUAUUGUCUGUAUUCAUUGUUAUUUAUUUACAAUAUUUUUGUACAUUAAUGUGCACAAGGCAUAUACAUAUACUUUUCAUCUGAAGCAAGAACAAGAGUGAGAAUACAAGACUUUACAGAUGGAUACAUCAUGCUUGGUAUGUACAACAAAAAGUACACAAAUAUUAUUAUUGUAUAAAUAUUUGUAUUAAUAUUCUAAUGUAUAGUAGCUGCCUACUUCUGCUAUAUAUAAUAUUUUGUUUUGUUUUUGUGUGUGUGUUUGUAUAUAUAUGUAUAUAUAUAUAGAGAGAGAGAGCACUUAAAUAGAAAUUGUACAUUGUAAAUACAGUAUAUUCAAUUUUUGAUUUCAUAAUAGUAUUUUGUGUUUUAUAAUAUAUAGAUUUUUUUGAUGUGCACAAGGCAUAUACAUAUACUUUUCAUCUGAAGCAAGAACAAGAGUGAGAAUACAAGACUUUACAGAUGGAUACAUCAUGCUUGGAAUCUUUCUCAUGCUUGAUUGUAUCUAUACUUCUGAUAUUGUGUCUGCCGCUGUCAGCCACAUCUCAUUUUCCUUCCCAGAAUGCAACAGGUACUGAAGUAUACUUAGAUCCAGUUAGUAUUGUUCUGGUUUAGGGAAAAAACGCAAGAACUUUAGAAAUGUGUAGCUUCUUGCUUCUAUAUAGUACAACUGUCAGUUACAUACUGUAUAUAAAGGUCACAGUAAGACAUUUGAAUUCCAUUAUUGCAUUUUUGUCAACUCUGAUAUCAAAACUGAAUGCCAGGUUUUAAAUUUAAUAUUUAAUGGUGUUUUUAGUGUAUUUGGGAUCUAGUUUCAUCCAGGAAGCUUUACGCAGAGCCAGAGAGCUGACAGAUGCCGCGUACGCUCACACCAAUGACAGGUGAGAGUUUAGUAAAAGUCAAAGCUCAUUUGAUUUAAGUAUCAACCAAUCAAGUCAAUAAAGGAAAUUGAGACCAAAAUAGAGCCAAAUGCGUCAAUAGUUGUCAUACAAUAAGAUUACAGGGGUAUCA